rnacentral:tRNA from 1 species
AAUUAAUGAGCUUGCUUAAGCUUUUGUUUUGAAAACUUAAGAAAGAAAAUAUGUAUUUCUAUUAAUUU